AGCGAACGCUGGCGGCAUGCUUAACACAUGCAAGUCUCACGGGCAGCAAUGUCAGUGGCGGACGGGUGAGUAACGCGUAGGUAUCUAUCCAUGGGUGGGGGAUAACGUCGGGAAACUGACGCUAAUACCGCAUGACAUCUGAGGAUCAAAGGCGCGAGUCGCCUGUGGAGGAGCCUGCGUACGAUUAGCUAGUUGGUGGGGUAAAGGCCUACCAAGGCGACGAUCGUUAGCUGGUCUGAGAGGAUGAUCAGCCACACUGGGACUGAGACACGGCCCAGACUCCUACGGGAGGCAGCAGUGGGGAAUAUUGGACAAUGGGCGAAAGCCUGAUCCAGCAAUGCCGCGUGUGUGAAGAAGGUCUUCGGAUUGUAAAGCACUUUCGGCGGGGACGAUGAUGACGGUACCCGCAGAAGAAGCCCCGGCUAACUUCGUGC
rnacentral:rRNA from 1 species